UCAUUUCAUUUUGACCUUUGGGAAAAGGACCCCAGCUCUGGUGAAUCCUGAGACUUGUCCUUAGUGACAGCUCCAGUGUGGAAUCUUGCUGUUCCUUCUGAGGUGGGAGGAGAUGG
ensembl:miRNA Mir6352 microRNA 6352